AUCGAGGAAGUAUAUAGAAAGUAUGGGAAUUGUUUUUGCCUCUUUCUAAGUCCAUUAUAGUGAAUUGAUUAUUCAAUGCUGAGAGUAAAUAACAAACCUUUAAAACAAAGUCUUUGCUAGAUUUUUUUAUAAAAAAUAUUAAAUUAAUAACAACACACCAAUGACUAAUAAACUAUUACUACGUAAUUACAGUGCAGUAAUUACGUUUAAAUAUUUUUUGAUUAGAACUACAAAUAGAUUAAACAGAGCAAUUGUUAUGAUUAUGAUGUAUUAGAUAUAAACACGCGCAUCGCUUUCUAAUCUUUCUAUUUGCAACGCAUCAUACAUCAUUCAAAUAUAACAAAAACAAUUAACAAACUUAUUUCUCUCAAAAAACACGGAAGAUUUGUAUGUUAUUAUGAUAUGUAUGUAAAGGAAAUAAUGGUUACAUGUUGAGACGAUAGGUGGCGCUGACGAUAGUGUCGGUGGAGACGGGAGACGUCAUGAUUUUUUAUUUGUCAAAGAAUUGAAUUUAAUUUAUUUUGUUAUAAACUAAUUAGUGGAAUAAGAGCGACAAUAUAACUUUAAAUGUCGUUUCUUUCAUUUACAGAGCAACGCAUGGUUUAAUUUGUCGUAAAUUCCAUAAAAAUAGAAUAAUUGUCUUAUAAAACGACAUUUUUAGUGAAGAAUAAUGGAAAAAUUACGAUUCACCUUCACAAUAUUAGGAGGAUCUGAUGGAAAAACUAAUUUAAUUUGCAUAACGUCAAUCGAAACUCCAGAUGGACGAUUAUUUGAUAUACCGGAUGAUUUGAAGCCUGUAAGUAAACACAUAGCCAUAACUGCUACAAAACCAUUGGAAAUUGUCUCAAUAGACACAAUUGGGGGAUUCGGAGGUUCUAGGUCAACUAAGAAAUAUCUGCACCUCUUAGUCGAUCAUUUUACUCGAUACGCUUAUAUAGUAAAUUCAAAGACACAGAGUGCUAAAGACUUCAUAAAACUUUUAAAUAAUGUACCGAAUUGUCAUGAAAUUGGUAUAGUACUCACUGAUCAGUACCCCGGGAUAAAUUCACAAGAAUUUAAAACAUUUUUACAAAAAAAAUCUAUCACACUAAUUUUCACUGCAGUAAACUCACCUUUUUCCAAUGGACUCAACGAGAGGCUUAACCAAACACUGGUAAAUAAAAUAAGAUGCAAGCUAAAUGAAAAACCAAAUACUACAGCAUGGACGAGUAUUGCUCAUAAUUGUGUAGACAAAUAUAACAAUACAGAACAUUCAAUAACAGGUUUUGCACCAAGAUACCUAAUGGAUGGCACCGAUGUCUCACUAAUACCCAAUGAACUAAAACUGGAAAAACAAACAAGUGACUGGAUGAGAGAUAGAAAAACUGCAAUAGAGAGAUCAAUAAAAUCACAUGAGUACAAUAAAACAAUAGUAAAUAAGAAGAGAAUAAAAUAUAAUUUCGAAGUAGGUGAUAUGGUAUAUGUUGAAAAUGGACACAAAUUAAAUAGAAGAAAAUUGGAUGAGUUAAGGAUUGGUCCAUUUAAAAUAGAAGAAAAAGUAUCACAAUCAAUAUACAAGAUUAAUACAGGCCACAAGAAGAAGGAAUCAAAUCUGUUUCAUAUUACUAAACUGACUCCUGUGCCCAUACCAGAAUAAAUAAAGGGAUAUUGGAAAAGUGAAAAUUUCCAGAGGAAUUUUCAAUUUAAGGGGGGGAGAUGUAAAGGAAAUAAUGGUUACAUGUUGAGACGAUAGGUGGCGCUGACGAUAGUGUCGGUGGAGACGGGAGACGUCAUGAUUUUUUAUUUGUCAAAGAAUUGAAUUUAAUUUAUUUUGUUAUAAACUAAUUAGUGGAAUAAGAGCGACAAUAUAACUUUAAAUGUCGUUUCUUUCAUUUACAGAGCAACGCAUGGUUUAAUUUGUCGUAAAUUCCAUAAAAAUAGAAUAAUUGUCUUAUAUGUAUAGUUAUGUAUAAUUUAUUAACUGCAUAUAAUAAAUAAAUAAAUUAUGUGACAUUUCAUAAACAUAAUUUUAACAAAUUUAUUUCCUGAAGAGUUAUGGCAUUGGUCUUUUGUUUUGGGUGCAUAUUAAAUGCAACAACAAAUUGUUUAUCGGUUAUUUUAUGAUCCUCAAGUAAUAGGGCGACGACUCUAUUAAUAAACAUGGGGGAGUCCCUUGCCCAUUUCCUCUGGGAGCAAACAUACUGAUAAGUAAUAAUUUUCCUUCUGUGGCAUUAUGCCUAUCAUUGGCUGUCUCUGUACCAACCGAAGGCAGACUGGGCGAAAAUACCUAUUUACAUACAUAAAUGGAAGUAAAUAACGAACUCAACACAAGUAUCUUCGGAUUACUUUUUGGGAAGCCGCGGCAACUUAUUGUACUAACUUUUGUCAAUAAACGCAUUUUAUUAUUAUUAUUUUUUUCUAAUAAAUAAUUUCAAUAACGUAAUUGACUUUUGACUGCACGGUGGGCGCGGUGACUAGGCAACCGGGUGUUGUUGUUUCGGGUCUGGGUGUCAUGUGUAUGUUUGUGUACGUACCCACGACACAGGAGAAAAUCCUAGUGAAAAAAUAUAU